rnacentral:rRNA from 1 species
AUACGUAGGGUGCAAGCGUUAAUCGGAAUUACUGGGCGUAAAGCGUGCGCAGGCGGUUUUGUAAGACAGAGGUGAAAUCCCCGGGCUCAACCUGGGAACUGCCUUUGUGACUGCAAAGCUAGAGCACGGGAGAGGGGGAUGGAAUUCCGCGUGGAGCAGUGAAAUGAGUAGAUAUGCGGAGGAACACCGAUGGCGAAGGCAAUCCCCUGGGCCUGUACUGACGCUCAUGCACGAAAGCGUGGGGAGCAAACAGGAUUAGAUACCCUGGUAGUCCACGCCCUAAACGAUGUCAACUGGUUGUUGGGUCUUCAUUGACUCAGUAACGAAGCUAACGCGUGAAGUUGACCGCCUGGGGAGUACGGCCGCAAGGUUGAAACUCAAAUGAAUUGACGGGG